AGCAUAGCCUUUGGCUUGGUGACACUAGC
rnacentral:piRNA from 1 species